AAUGAACGCUGGCGGCAUGCUUUACACAUGCAAGUCGAACGGUAACAGGGAGCUUGCUCCGCUGACGAGUGGCGAACGGGUGAGUAAUAUAUCGGAACGUACCCAGAAGUGGGGGAUAACGUAGCGAAAGUUACGCUAAUACCGCAUACGAUCCACGGAUGAAAGUCGGGGACCUUCGGGCCUUAUGCUUUUGGAGCGGCCGAUAUCUGAUUAGCUAGUUGGUGAGGUAAAGGCUCACCAAGGCGACGAUCAGUAGCUGGUCUGAGAGGACGACCAGCCACACUGGAACUGAGACACGGUCCAGACUCCUACGGGAGGCAGCAGUGGGGAAUUUUGGACAAUGGGCGCAAGCCUGAUCCAGCAAUGCCGCGUGAGUGAAGAGGGCCUUCGGGUUGUAAAGCUCUUUUGUCAGGGAAGAAACGGCUGUGGCUAAUAUCCACGGCUAAUGACGGUACCUGAAGAAUAAGCACCGGCUAACUACGUGCCAGCCGCCGCAGUAA
rnacentral:rRNA from 1 species